AUUUAUAUAGUUUAAAAAAACAUUACAUUUUCAAUGUAAAAAUAAAAAUUCAUUUUUUUAUAAAUA
rnacentral:tRNA from 1 species